GUCAGCAGGGAGUGCUUGUCAGCAAUCCUCUGCGCAGAGUUCCUCUCCUGCAGUGUCUGCCAGCGGAGGUGGCGAAGGGAGUGCUCCUUGGCUGUCUCAGGUCAGUAGCUCUCCAGCUGGUCUCUGCAGAGAUGAGGUGGACUGAUUUGUGACAGAGAACUGACUUGAGACAAGGAGCUACUGGGUGGCCAGAGGGGGAACUGUGACUCUUCAACGCGACAGACCUGGUUCAAAGACAUGGGAAGAAAAUGCAGUAAAUGCAGAAGAUAAGCCUUGAAGGUUAAUCACUUAAACACUAAGGAAAAUUACUUUAUCAUUAGCCAUAUAGGCUUUGUGA